UCGCCUGUUUAUCAAAAACAUCGCCUCUUGAUUACCAUAAGAGGUCCAGCCUGCCCAGUGACCAAUUUAACGGCCGCGGUACCCUAACCGUGCGAAGGUAGCAUAAUCACUUGUUUCUUAAAUAGGGACUAGUAUCAAUGGCAUCACGAAGACUACACUGUCUCCUCCCUAAAAUCAAUGAAACUGAUCCCCUCGUGAAGAAGCGAGGAUAUAAACAUAAGACGAGAAGACCCCAUGGAGCUUUAAACGAACCUCAAUUGCCCCCUCCCCAUCAUAGAAAUUGAGCAUUAAUGACGGUAGUUUUCGGUUGGGGUGACCGCGGAGUAAAACAAAACCUCCACAAUGAAUGUAAUAAUACUAAUAAAAGAACCACAAUUCUAAUAAUCAAAAAAUUGACAUAAUUGACCCAAACACUUGAUCAAUGAACCAAGUUACCCUGGGGAUAACAGCGCAAUCCAUUUUAAGAGCCCCUAUCGACAAAUGGGUUUACGACCUCGAUGUUGGAUCAGGGUAUCCUAGUGGUGCAGUCGCUACUAACGGUUCGUUUGUUCAACGAUUAAAACCCUACGUGAUCUGAGUUCAGACCGGA
rnacentral:rRNA from 1 species